rnacentral:antisense_RNA from 1 species
CUUCACCGAGCCGACCCGCACGGGCCGGUCGGCCGGCCGGUCCUGGCCGUAGGUCUCCAGCAGGGCCUGCGCCUC